rnacentral:rRNA from 1 species
CCUACGGGAGGCAGCAGUGGGGAAUAUUGGGCAAUGGGCGCAAGCCUGACCCAGCAAUGCCGCGGGAAGGAAGAAGGCUGUCGGGUUGUAAACUUCUGUGACAGGGGAAGAGCAGAAGACGGUACCCUGAAAACAAGCCACGGCUAACUACGUGCCAGCAGACGCGGUAAUACAUAGGUGACAAGCGUGGUCCGGGUUUACUGGUUGUAAAGGGCUUGUAGCCGGGAAGGCAUGUCAGAUGUGAAAUCCGGAGGCUCAACCUCCGAAUUGCAUUUGAAACUGUUUUUCUUGAGUACUGGAGAGGCAGACGGAAUUCCUUGUGUAACGGUGAAAUGCGUAGAUAUAAGGAGGAACACCAGUGGCGAAGGCGGUCUGCUGGACAGCAACUGACGGUGAGGCGCGAAAGCGUGGGGAGCAAACAGGAUUAGAUACCCUUGUAGUC